CCUACGGGUGGCUGCAGUGGGGAAUAUUGGACAAUGGGCGAAAGCCUGAUCCAGCCAUGCCGCGUGUGUGAAGAAGGCCUUCGGGUUGUAAAGCACUUUCAGUGGGGAAGAAAGCCUUGGGGCUAAUACCCUCGAGGAAGGACAUCACCCACAGAAGAAGCACCGGCUAACUCCGUGCCAGCAGCCGCGGUAAUACGGAGGGUGCGAGCGUUAAUCGGAAUUACUGGGCGUAAAGCGCGCGUAGGCGGUCUGAUAAGCCGGUUGUGAAAGCCCCGGGCUCAACCUGGGAACGGCAUCCGGAACUGUCAGGCUAGAGUGCAGGAGAGGAAGGUCGAAUUCCCGGUGUAGCGGUGAAAUGCGUAGAGAUCGGGAGGAAUACCAGUGGCGAAGGCGGCCUUCUGGACUGACACUGACGCUGAGGUGCGAAAGCGUGGGUAGCAAACAGGAUUAGAUACCCGGGUAGUC
rnacentral:rRNA from 1 species